GAAGCGGCAGCGAUUAUUCGCUAUUCAGACGCAAGACGUUCAAAUCACGCGCCACGUUCAAAUGUGGGUCACGUGGCUCGGCGCACAUCGACCAUCAUGGUAUCAGGCGUCUGUCUGCUUUUCUGCGUCGUUGCAUUACAUCUGCGCUGCUUGCAUAGUCUGUCAGAUAUCGAGUUCGCGAUCAUUUAUGAAUUCAGUUAAUGUUUGUGGCUAGGACUUGGAACCAAUCAAUCUCUUGCAUUGACAUAUUUAUCAACGUUGCAGGUUAGAACGUGGUUAGAACGUAUUUUAAAUCUCAAUAUCGUCCUUAGCGUCAGACUUGGAAAUUAUAUCUGCUACUAAACACCAAGUGAAGUAUUCGUCGCUCCGUGCUGUCAAAACUUAUUCUUCUAGAAAUGCUUACCCUGCACCGAUCAAUCUUUUCGCUUUUUACGCUACGAAUGGGCGGAAAACAGCAACGGUAUUUUUCAUCGUUCUCUGCGAUGGAAGACCCGCACCACGGAUGGAUCGACGGAAAGAUAUUUAAGUCUCUGAUACGCCAGCGUACCAGCCCCUAACCUCACUUCGCCUGUCCCUUCGUUAAUAUCUGCCGAGGCAAGAAUGAUUUGUCACAAUCAGUGGUUUCUUAAUAUUUUCGAAGUUUACAAUUUUUACUUGAAUAUUGCUACUAAGGACCGUUCUGAUAUCGUAACACGGUGCUUGAAGCAAAGUUACCUGAGCAACCAAGUGAAAAUCAAGUAGUGCUAAUUAGCUGUUCGCAUUGUGUCUUGGCAAAUUUCAUCGGAAGACAAACUUCUGGCUUCAGAAUAAGAACUGCUUUGACUGAUGUGUGAGAUAUAAAUAAACACACCAUGUUGUGUCAUCUGAGAUUGGAGUUGUCAAGUGACGUAUGUGAAGGAUUGUAGUCAGACCUGAGGUAAUUAGAACAAAAAAUGAAUGAAUGUAUGAAGAUAAGCAAGCACAAGUAGUCGUACAUCAUCACAACCAUGGGCUCGUAGGAAUCUAGUGCGAUUGUGAUAAUAUGCUUACUGCAGUGAAAGACAAUGCAGAUAAGCUUGACAAAUAGUAACAACUUCUGAGAUACCACGGUAAAAUUUCAAUAGAACGGGAAGUUCGCUGGAUUUUUUCAAAAAAUAUCCUGAUGCAAAGGAAUGAUGAAAAAAUAGCAGAUGGGAUGAAAAUAACUUGAAGAAAAUGCGUCUUUUAUUCGUCAAUUGACUUUUAAUACAUUAUUCUCUAAAUGAAUCUAAUAAUGGACUGAACGAUUUUGAAGCCUGGAAUUUUUUUUUUUUAAACUUAAUUCUGUCUUCGUACAAGUAACGUAAAUAUAGACCAACCUGGAAGCUAUUAAUGAAAAUUCUUCUUUGACCGGUGGUAUUAUCAAACAAGAAACUGAAUUCGAUCAUUGCUGUCCUCAAAUAGCCAUGUUAUCAAUACUGGUAACCCCUCCUUUUCAAGCAGAUAUCAAUCAGCAUCAAGUGGAGUUGACUGAAGUUGGGAUUAUCGGAAUGGAGAGAAAAACCAAGUAACUCAAACCUCCGAACGAAAUUUGCUGAAAAUAAAAUGGCUUUUGACAGCUUAGAUUGAUUACCACGAGCCGAUAUUAAAGAAUGUAUCACAGAUGAAAUCAGCCACUUGAGAUUGUGAUCUUGUUUUCCAUCACACAUCUAGUAGAUUGGACAUCAAAAUGCUUACAUAUAAAAUCCAACGGCACAAAAUAAUACUUGACAAAGAUUUCGUAGCAAAUCACAAAAUAUCAGUUAAGCUUGAAUUUAACUCGAUAAUUAACUUUAGAAGAGCAAUCAGAUAUUUAAGUAGGCACUUGAGAAAUACCCGUCAUCCCGAAUCGUACACAAAUGUAUAUUAAUAUCUAAUUGCCACUUUGAUAUAAGUACUUUAUGCGAAGAACUAUGUAUGUUCUGCUCUUUAUUGCGUUGUAUAUACGUUUUACAAAUUUGUUUAUCAUGUUGUAAACUCGGUCCAUUCUAUUACUUAUCUCGGUAAUUCCAAUGCAAUCAUUCCGUGUUAACUCAUUGUCAGGCCCCAUUGUUGACAAAUUACUGUCAAGUAAGGCUUCACGUAUUUUUAUUUAUGACAUUAGCAAAGUUACUCAAUGUGCUCAUAUAUUUUUCGUCAACCAUGAUAUGUGCCGUGACGUCAAAUAUGAAGCUCAAACACUUCUAUUCGCAAUAAAGGCAUGUGUAUACUGCGUAUGCAUGCAUUUUAUAUGUUA